rnacentral:snRNA from 1 species
AGAAGUGAAGAGGAUCAGGCUGUAUCAUUUGUCACUGCACUGACUGUCAGGGUUGAUUUGGAUGAUCUAGCUGGUUAGUGUCAUUUUCCCCCUUCCUUCCUUACAGCUCCACGUGUGUUCUUCUCAAAGUUGCACAUUUAAUCAAAGAGGAUGAUCUUUCUUUGGUUAAGCAUAUACCUGCUCUUCCCAGGUAGAUCCUCCAAACAAGCUCUCAAGGUCCAAAUGCAUACCAGUAUGGCUAUAGUUACUGAAGUUUGCUCUUGGGAUAACUU